AGGCACCAAGCUGGAGACAAGAGCUUUCCCGACUCAGACCUGGUCCCUCCUAUCCUUUCCUUUUGUUUCAGGUCUGGGAGGUGAUCCUUAUGGGUCAGGGAGUUCAAACCAUGGGCUUGGACCUUGGAGCCAAGAUCGGAGGCAGGGAGACAAGUCCAAAUAACAGAGAAGUUAUUUAAAACUACAUUUUAAGUUUAAAGUUACUAAGCAAAUCACAAUGAAAAAUAAAGAAGAGAACAGUGCAGCAAGCCUUGAAUCUAGGGAGGCUCCAGUCUCUGACUUGUGACCUGCCAGAACAGAAGUCUUCUAAAAAGCAGUGGGUCAAAAACUAAUUUACAUUUUUAUAUAAAUGGAAACAAGUUUGUUUAUUUAGUGCCCGUGGAAGAUAUGCAUUGCUGGAGGGGCAGGGGAAGGCAGGUAGCUGGAGAUCUCUCACAGGCUUCUGGCUGCAACAGUCUCAGGUUCUUUCAGGGUCUGAGGGUUCCCAGUCAAUUCUUCAGUGUGAGGCAUGGCUAAUAUUUCCUCAGAUAAACAGUUACUCUGCUCCUUUGCUGCCAUUUUUCUCUGUAUUUUCCAGUUCUU